GGGAGAAAAUCAUGUUUGUAUUUAUUACACAGAUGUAAUAUCCUUGAAACCUGUUACACUUAGUUCAAACCAACCUGGUUUGAGAGAAUUUUCUCUGGAUAGAGACUUGAUCAAGACAAAUGCUUCAGACACUUACUCUUUCAAGUAAAAGGGGCAUGUCAAGAGACAGCAAAAUGAGACAACUGGAAAUAGAAAAUAACAUUAAUGCCGUUCUUCAUGCUCCAACCCCACAAUAUGCUCAUGUACUACCUUGAACAAGUACACUUCAGCACAUGGCGUAUCCAACCUCUUAACAGGUGAAUGAAACACUCUGUGCCCGUGGCAUGCCCAUGCUUGCCUGGCAUCCCCCCAAUCUUUGACCCUCUCUCUCUUCCCUCUCACUCUCUAUUAACACCAACUCAUACUCUCUCUCUCUUGUGAUGUUGAGAAACCAGGCUAGUCUGAGAGACCAGGUUAGUCCGAGAGACUAGGUUAGUCUGAGAGACCAGGUUAGUCUGAAAGACCAGGCUAGUCUGAGAGACCAGGUUAGUCUGAGAGACCAGGUUAGUCUGAAUGAUGAGGCUAGUCUGAGAGACGAGUCUGAGAAACCAGGUUAGUCUGAGAGACCAGGUUAGUCUGAAUGAUGAGGCUAGUCUGAGAGACGAGUCUGAGAGACCAGGUUAGUCUUAGAGACCAGGCUUGUCUGAGAGACCAGGUUAGUCUGAGAGACCAGGCUAAUCUGAAAGACCAGGUUAGUCUGAGAGACCAGGUUAGUCUGAAAGACCAGGUUAGUCUGGGAGACCAGGCGAAUCUGAAAGACCAGGUUAGUCUGAGAGAACAGGUUAGUCUGAAAGACCAGGUUAGUCUGGGAGACCAGGUUAGUCUGGGAGACCAGGCUAGUCUGGGCCUGACUAUUAUUGAGAUAUAUUGUCUUCCCAACUAUGAACAAGCUGUUCUUGACCCUUAUUGACCAAUGGGAUUGCAUCUUUGACUUUCAUAUGCAGUAUGGCAAACGAAUGAGAUAAAACAUCUAAAUUGCCAUUUAUUGCAUUGAGGCAUGAUUGCAUUUUGAACAAUUUAUGAAUUACACCAGAAAUACAUUGAAGACAUUGUAUCAAGUUUGAGCUGAACUUCACGAUUGACUCAUGAAGUACAAGCAUUUCAUUGGUUCAUCAGUUUUCCCAAACAAGAUACCUUUUAAAAUAAAUCAUACUUUUAAAAACAUACAAAAUUAUAGUAACUUGAAGUAAUCAAUCAGAAAUCAAUAUCACUAAAAGGAAGCCGAUCACCCCAGAGAGAGAAUUUAGAUUUCCUCAGUAUAUCAAUGGGUAGCCUAAACCUGAACAUACUCAUCGACAGAGUUCAAUCAAAUGCAAGAUUGGCAGAAUAAAUCAUGGAAAAGUUGAACAAAAGCAUCUGUGCCUGCCAAGGCUGUGGUAUUGUUGUCAAACAAUGGAGUGGUCAAUCUGUGUCAUUGCAUGUUUUAUGGAACGAGGGCAAAUAGCAUUCUGACAGUAGAGCAUUAGAAAUUGAAAUGUUUUCUAUCCUCAAACAUACCCGUUGUCUCUCAUGCUUGGAUAUUCUGAUUGAGGCAUUUCAGUUCAUUUAUGUCCCUCUCUCCACUUUCCCAUAGCCUAGGACUCAAAAGACUAGUGCCCAGACAGACUCUUAUCAUAGACUCUAAUGGAUAUAUAUUAAAUUGACUACUUGAAAAGCAUAUUGAAAUCUGAUCUCUAGGUCCGACUACGACCCAACACCAUAAGUGCAUCUCCACUUCAUUGACUCCUCUAGUCCUCCAGUCUGUGAUCAAACCAGAAA